AUGAAUAUUGGCAUAUACGUAAAUAGUGUCAUAUACAUGAAUAGUGUCGUAUAUGUGAAUAGUAACCUCGACAUGAAAAGUUAAAAAUUUCAUAAUAAAAUUCAUACCAAUAUUUCAGUGAAAUGAUAUUGAAAGAAACAACAUCAUUUACUUAAAAAAAAAUACUAUCAACUUAUCAAAAGAAUAGUACUUCUGGCUGAAAUAUCGGAUAUAAUGCUGAAGAAAACAUGCACUGCUUAUCAACUCUCAAAGUAUCUAAAUACUCACAAAAAUACGCUCGAUAUUAUAGAGAGAGAAAACUUCUAAUUCUGGUGUGAUUUUCAAUUCUAACUAAGCAC
rnacentral:lncRNA from 1 species